UCCAGACUCCUACGGGAGGCAGCAGUGGGGAAUAUUGGGCAAUGGGCGCAAGCCUGACCCAGCAACGCCGCGUGAAGGAAGAAGGCUUUCGGGUUGUAAACUUCUUUUAAGAGGGAAGAGAAGAAGACGGUACCUCUUGAAUAAGCCACGGCUAACUACGUGCCAGCAGCCGCGGUAAUACGUAGGUGGCAAGCGUUAUCCGGAAUUAUUGGGCGUAAAGAGCGCGCAGGUGGUUAAUUAAGUCUGAUGUGAAAGCCCACGGCUUAACCGUGGAGGGUCAUUGGAAACUGGCUGACUUGAGUGCAGAAGAGGGAAGUGGAAUUCCAUGUGUAGCGGUGAAAUGCGUAGAGAUAUGGAGGAACACCAGUGGCGAAGGCGGCUUCCUGGUCUGCAACUGACACUGAGGCGCGAAAGCGUGGGGAGCAAACAGGAUUAGAUACCCCAGUA
rnacentral:rRNA from 1 species